rnacentral:misc_RNA from 1 species
GAAUCACAUUCAUCUCAACACCUGUUGUCCAACAAUUCACAAUUAUGAAGUCAAUUUAUCACCUCAGAGACAGAAGGAGAGGGGGGGUGGGGAAGGAAACUGUACAGAAAGAAAGAAAAGAUCCCAAACGGAAAUGCAAAAAAACUACACAACAGCAAAACUAAUUACAACAAGAAACAAAAGUAGAAAACAGACCGGAGCUCUACAAGAAAGACAAAAAGAAGCCAGAAAAUAGUUAAAUAUAAGAGCAAUUCACAAAAGGAUGAACCCUGUCAACACUAAUAUAGUAAUACAUUAAAAGUAAUCCCAAGGGAAAAGGGGGGAGGAAGAAGAAAGAAGAGUAAAAAAUACCUAGCUCUAGACCACCCAAAACCCUGUACACAUACAAACCAGACCUACAGUACUCUGCAAAAGGGCUUCAAGCUCAAACAUAUUCAAAUUCAAACUAAUUAAUCAAAACAAAUGAGACCUGGUACCCUUUUCUCCUUGCCCCUAAAGCAAGAUGCAGAAAUUUAAAGCGUGUAAAGGGCAUUGAUUUGUAAGUGAAAAGGGGGUAAAUUUUGGCACGGGAAUCUAGAGAGAGA